rnacentral:misc_RNA from 1 species
UCCUGAUCUAACUUUGAAGGCUGCUAACAAGUACUUGCAGGACUCAUUUGUUUUGAUCAGGAAACUGCUUCAAAAACAACUCCUGGAUUCAAAGAAAGCCAAUAAGAAAGGAGUCUCAGUUGCAGCAGUAACUGAAGACAAGAUAACAGGCUUGAUAUAUGUGAAUGAACAAUUUGAUGGAUGGAAGGCAGAAUGCUUAAGGAUACUUCAAAGCAAAUUUGACAGUAACAAGCAUAUUUUUGCCCCAGAUGGGGAGAUAAUCGAGGCACUAAAGAACAGUUCUGUUGGGCAGGCCACAAAUUUUAAACAAAUACAAAAACUUUGUAUGCCUUUCUUGAGGUUCAAGAAG